rnacentral:rRNA from 1 species
CAGUCGCCACGGGAACACCAGCACCUCGAGUGGUCAGGAGGUUUAUUGGGCCUAAAGCAUCCGUAGCCGGUUGCAUAAGUUUUCGGUUAAAUCUAUGCGCUUAACGUAUAGGCCGCCGAAAAUACUGUGCAGCUAGGGAGUGGGAGAGGUACACGGUACUCGAUAGGAAGGGGUAAAAUCCUUUGAUCUAUUGAUGACCACCUGUGGCGAAGGCGGUGUACCAGAACACGUUCGACGGUGAGGGAUGAAAGCUGGGGGAGCAAACCGGAUUAGAUACCCUUGUAGUCCCUGUCUCUUAUAC